rnacentral:rRNA from 1 species
GACGUAGGUGGCGAACGUUCUCCGGAAUUAUUGGGCGUAAAGGGUGCGUAGGCGGCCUGAUACGUUAUUGGCGGCAAAUCGAGGCUCAACCUCGUGGAAACUGAUAAUACUGUUUUGCUUGAGUACAGAAGAGGUUAACGGAACUCCAUGUGGAGCGGUAAAAUGUGUAGAUAUAUGGAAGAACAUCAAUAACGGCGAAGGCAGUUAACUAUUCUGUUACUGACGUUGAGGCACGAAAGCGUGGGGAGCAAAAAGG